AAUUGAUUAGUCUAAAUUAAGACAAUUGUUUUGAAAGCAAUAAAUGGAAUUAUUAACUCCCUCAAUUU
rnacentral:tRNA from 1 species